CCGAUUGUUCCAGCUUGAAUAUUCUAAAUAACUCUAACUUAUGUACUUAUAUCCAAGAAUCCUAUCCGUACAAUUGGUGAUGCUCUGAAGAAGGUGAAUUCCAUCACAAAGGUAAAGAAUGUCUCAAUCUGUUAUGCACUUUUAGGGUUCAUUAGUUAUUUCAGUAUUGUGUUUUGAUUUCUCAAAAUACCUUGCCUGGUUCCAGCUUUCCCUUUCUCAUUGUCAGCUUCAGGGUAUUGACACUUCCCUUAAGUAUGAUUUGCAGAGAGUAAGAGUAAAAGAGUUCUGAUUUUCAGUUGAUAGUUCAGAUAGGACCUAUUACAAAGAUUUGGUAAAUUUUAUUGAAGCCUCUAAUGUUAAAAAAAACACUCUUUAUGAUAGAAUAACAAUCUUUUCUGUUAAAUUGUUUACAACCAUGUCUCUUUUCCCCUCUUUAUUGUCAUCAGUUCUUAUCACUAGGUCAUCAAAAGUGGUAGUCAAGUUCUUAUCACAAGGCAUGAUCAAGUUCAGUUCAUUGUUUAUCAGUUCUGUUCAUAUCAACCAGCACAUAAUUAGUUCAUUGUUUUUUGUUUGAAUAAUACUCUAAUCGAUUAUUGUUUGAUUAGAGAACUGCAGACACGAAAUUGGCUAUUACAGAUGCAAUUAAUGUUGAAAUGGAGGUUGCUUACACAUCAAACGUCUAGCCAGAGUAUCUGAAUCUUUCUUAACAAGAACUAUUGCAUCGUACAAAUAAAACCAACUCAUUGACAUAUUAAACAAAGUCAUGGUUUUAGCCUAUUAUGAAGACGAAGGUUGCUGAAGAGGCUAUGGAAGAAAAGCAGAAGGUAACAAUGUUUUUUCAACAAAGAGGGAUUUUAAGUGACCCUUUCCUGUUUGCUUUUCUAGAAUAAUCUAUUGUUUGCAGGUAAAACCUUCGUUUGAACUAUCAGAAAAAACUUGCGGCUGAAUUCAAUGGAGUCAGAGGCAUUACUUUAUUGUUCAAUGAACCACCAGAGGCUCGAAAGCCUGAUAUUAAAUGGAGGCUCUAUAUUUUCAAGACUGGUGAAAUGUUGAAUGGUAAACUUUUAUUCCCUCUACUUAAAUCUUACAAAUUCAGUAAAGCAAACAAGGUAAUACCAGUUUUUUUCUGGGUUACUCAACAUAUACUAUCGAAGUAUUCAGCAUAUAUAAACCUAACAUCUAUGUGAUCUGCAACAGGCCUGACAUAAUGGACCUUGGAAGCAUAAACAAAACUUUCGUUAAUGUACUACUAAGAAGUAAAGAUGCUCUAUGUAUACCUGCUUCCAAAGUUAUAAUUUAUUGGCGUUAAACUUAAGUUGUCAUUGGGUUAUAUGUAAAUCUCCAGGCAAUGUAUUAAUUUGUAGCUAUAUUGCCACUGUUGUAAUAAAAUUUUUAAACAAAUGAACUUAUCAUUUCAUGUGAUUAACAUAUUUAUUGAAAUGUUAUAUAAAAGUAUUAUAAGAUUGAAUCUUGA